ACCAGACUCCUACGGGAGGCAGCAGUGGGGAAUAUUGCACAAUGGGGGAAACCCUGAUGCAGCGACGCCGCGUGAGCGAAGAAGUACCUCGGUAUGUAAAGCUCUAUCAGCAGGGAAGAAGAUGACGGUACCUGACCAAGAAGCUCCGGCUAAAUACGUGCCAGCAGCCGCGGUAAUACGUAUGGAGCAAGCGUUAUCCGGAUUUACUGGGUGUAAAGGGGGCGCAGACGGCGGCGCAAGCCAGGAGUGAAAGCCCGGGGCCCAACCCCGGGACUGCUCUUGGAACUGCGCGGCUGGAGUGCAGGAGGGGCAGGCGGAAUUCCUGGUGUAGCGGUGAAAUGCGUAGAUAUUAGGAGGAACACCAGUGGCGAAGGCGGCCUACUGGACGGUGACUGACGCUGAGGCUCGAAAGCGUGGGGAGCAAACAGGAUUAGAUACCCUAGUAA
rnacentral:rRNA from 1 species